rnacentral:lncRNA from 10 species
UCAGCGGUGGACUCUCGCCUGUCUUCUCUGUGGGAUCACGGCAUAGUUCCAUGAUCUUAGUAGAGGGCAGACAUGAGCCAGCCUAAAGAAACCUGCACCACUGUGAUUUCCAGAGGGCUGCAUUAUUCCUGUAAGAUGAGAAACAGACAGCCUAUUUUGGCUUUUGCAUGGUGAUCAAGCCUCUGUUGUAUUUCAUCUGCAAGUCUUCUCAUUAGGAGGGGCUUUUUCAUUGUCUGCUGCUGGAUGGAACAGCCUCUUGCCACAGAUUAUUUGGCUGCCAGGGAUUUCAAAGAGCACAAGAGACUUCAGAGAGCUGCUACAAGGCUCAGGAUGAAGGGAGGCAGUGAGAUAAAGAGCCCAGCCAUCUUUCACUGACACCCACCUCUGGGGUCUCAGGUAUGGUUCUAUCUCCUAAGGAAUGCUCAACAACGCACCAGAUUUUAUUCCAAUCUCCAUGGGACCCGAUUCUGGUA